GAUGAACGCUGGCGGCGUGCCUAAUACAUGCAAGUCGAGCGAACAGACGAGGAGCUUGCUCCUCUGACGGUAGCGGCGGACGGGUGAGUAACACGUGGAUAACCUACCUAUAAGACUGGGAUAACUUCGGGAAACCGGAGCUAAUACCGGAUAAUAUAUUGAACCGCAUGGUUCAAUAGUGAAAGACGGUUUUGCUGUCACUUAUAGAUGGAUCCGCGUCGCAUUAGCUAGUUGGUAAGGUAACGGCUUACCAAGGCGACGAUGCGUAGCCGACCUGAGAGGGUGAUCGGCCACACUGGAACUGAGACACGGUCCAGACUCCUACGGGAGGCAGCAGUAGGGAAUCUUCCGCAAUGGGCGAAAGCCUGACGGAGCAACGCCGCGUGAGUGAUGAAGGUCUUCGGAUCGUAAAACUCUGUUAUUAGGGAAGAACAAAUGUGUAAGUAACUAUGCACGUCUUGACGGUACCUAAUCAGAAAGCCACGGCUAACUACGUG
rnacentral:rRNA from 1 species